rnacentral:tRNA from 1 species
CGUAGCUCAGUUGGAUAGAGCGUAAGUCUCCGAAGCUUGAGGUCAUGGGUUCGACUCCCAUCG